rnacentral:tRNA from 1 species
AAUUAAUUGGCAGAAUAAUGCAUUAGAAUUAGAAUCUAAUAAAACUACAAUC